GUGCCAGCAGCCGCGGUAAUACGGAGGGUGCAAGCGUUAAUCGGAAUCACUGGGCGUAAAGCGCACGUAGGCUGUUUGGUAAGUCAGGGGUGAAAUCCCGCGGCUCAACCGCGGAAUUGCCCUUGAUACUGCUGGACUUGAGUUCGGGAGAGGGUGGCGGAAUUCCAGGUGUAGGAGUGAAAUCCGUAGAUAUCUGGAGGAACAUCAGUGGCGAAGGCGGCCACCUGGACCGAUACUGACGCUGAGGUGC
rnacentral:rRNA from 1 species